UUCAGGAUCCGUUGUCAAGUCUCAAGUGCAACUGUCAACUCGACAUUCUCUGUUGUGCUCACAAAAGGACCAAUUUAAAUAUCGUGGUUUGAAUUAUUAAAUUAUUCACAACUGACAAGUUCGUUCUGUAGUCGAGUCUUAGUCAUCAAAGUUUUAAUUGACUUCCGUCUUCUUGCAACGUCAAAGUGGAACGAUGACAAGUGGGCUGUUUCUACUGCCUUGUGACUGGCCGAAUUGCUAUCAAUCUUUUGAGAGAAACGUUCAAACGCCAGUCUCGUUAGUCACCAGACUUUUGGUUCCGAUCCCGUUGGCCGCAACAGUCGAGUAAUUGCAAUCGUUGUGACGGUUGGCUACCGAUGAAGCACCUUGAUGAGCACUGCCUGUGGCCAACCUGCCAGAAGACGCCGACGGGGUGAACAGACCCUGAAAGGUCUCCCUGAACUGUGCAAACACAAAACACAGGGGUGGUAUAAUAAUCGACUAUUGUCACUCAACAGGAGCAGUACCAGAUCCUGCACUUUGCAAUGAAUACUUGCCUGACGACUCAUGCCGCAAUAGAUGGCGAAGUUGAUUGGAUACGAUAGCGAAAUGAAAAAAUUUGUGAACAGGAUCAGGACAUUUAUGACGUCAUAGUCGAGGACUCGCAGCUCAAGGGAGGCAUCGAAGAUGUGCAGGACAGUCAAAACGGCCAAUGGAAUUUCGACGACCAGGAAGCAGGAUACAACAACAAUCAACAUGAGCGUCGUGCAAUUGGAAUCUCUUAAUUUUCGGCAUUCGCUGGCUUUGCGAUUUUCCUUGAAAAGCUUAUCUCGCUUUUGCUGGGCGCGACGCAGCGCUCCGAAUAAAAGGACGUUGAGCAGAACCAGCGAGGCGCAAGGUCCCAGAUGCACGCAAACAACCCGGAACCAAAAGUAAAGGUUGUAGUAUACCACCUAGAUUUGAACUUGAUAUUAUCACUUUGUCUUUGGAUGUGUAACCGUUUGGGUUUUAUUGUGAUGAAAUUACCUGGCUGAAAAUGUCAGUGACCCAAUCAGCUUCGUAUUUGCAGCAGGUUGUCACAACUCCUUCACCUUCCCAGUAGAUAUCUACCGGCAGGUACACCUUUAUAUCAAAAAUGAAAUUUAAACAUUUUCCACUGAAAAUACAUCGUUUUGUACAAAUUUCACCACGGCAGGUAUUUUUUGUGGGCAUGGAAAGGUUUACUGGUUUUCGUCCUCUCUCCCUUGAGAAAUUUACGACUCCUUUUGAUUGAAAGUAAAAACGUGCACGAAAGAGACUUCCAUUUUCUCUUGUACAAAGCAAUCUUUGGAAUCUUAUAACAGACCAAAAAGAACGUAGCGACACAAUUGCUGGGCAACUACAAGUCUUCUUUAAUAACUUGUAUAUUUUCUCGUCUGCUAUAUCAAAUCAGCCAUUUGUCUCCCUCGGCAUAAAGAUCUAACAUACGAGAACAUUACGUUGGAGACCUGCAUCCGAGUAUCGCCAUCUGUCCACUUGUAGUACCGAAAAACUUGAAAAUAAAAAAGAAAUGUCGCAGAAACGGGCAGAAAUAUUGUGGCAAUUGGAUCUUACCACAUAAAAGACCUACAUAUAAAACAAAAAAAUAUUUUUUGCUUUACCUUCUUGUUAUGAUCUAUUUUUUUUUCAGCCCUUUGAACAACUUUUAUUGGACUUGUACGUUCACCAAAAAUGCAGCAUGAUUGCUGAUGAAGUCUAGAGUGCUUUUGCUUUUUUCUGAUCGGCUUUUCGUCGACGCAAAACUGUGUGUAACCUAAUACACAGUCAAGCGUA